CUGGCCGCGGGCAGAGCGCGGAGGCGGCGCGGGUGAGCAGGGUGGCAGCCGAGCCCGGAGGACGCGGCCACCACAGCUGGCGUCCGCCGCUCUGCGCUUCUCCUCGGAGCUUCUCUUGUUCGGCGGGGCCCACCUCACGCCGCCCGGGCCCCGCGGACCUGCAAACCUGGGGCCGCGAGCAGAUCUGCCCUUGGCGCUUUUCUGGGCUUGGCAGAGGGGUUCCGGCCAGAGAUCUCUGGGUUCGCGCUGGCGAUGCGCAGCGAAGAAAGGCGGGGAGCCGCGUCCGGACUGGGUGCUCUCCGAGCGCGAGGAGGCGGGAUGCGCUCGCCGGGGGCGGCGGGGCGCCCUGCACCCGCCCGCGUUGCGCUCCAGCCCCCGGGCCCGGGAAUGCGGCCGUUCGGGCACCCCCGGUAGCGGCGUCCACGCGCUCUCCGAGGGUCCGGAGCGCAGAGGCCGGCUGCCGGCGCUUUGGCCUUGGAUGGAAAAUGCGGAAUGAGAUGGGGGCCUCCGGACCCCCUAACGUGGAUUACUUGGUGCAUGUGAGCGGGACUCAGAAGACCCACGACCUCGUCUCCGUCCGUGGAUCCAUACGUUCUACCCAACAGUCGGGACGCUCACCUGGAGGUGAAAUCAGACGUUUGUGGCUGACCUGGAUAAAUUGCUUCAAACCAAGAAAGAAGGACAAGAGGAAAGGAGAGCUGUGCACAGGAAUCAGGGCCCAACCCAGCCCCGGUGCUCUGCUGGCUUUGGGGGUUUUGCUCCCUCUGCAGCACACCUGCUGCCUGGGCAUCCCUAAUGCACCAGUGUGCCGGCCCAGCGUGGAGAUCAGCAGGCAGGAUCCUUGCAGUUAGCCAUCAGAGAAGGUCGAGAGACGCAGGCCUAGAAAAGAGGAUUGGCACGGGCUGUUCUCCCUCACACACACCUCCCACCGGGAAGCUUGGUGGAGCCAGGUGUGCACCAGGAGCCCCUGAAGGACCUGGCUAAGAUAGGACCAUCUCUUCAGAGGCAAGAACUCUGGAUCUGAUUGAGAAUUCUUAUUUUGGAGACUAAGGAAACUUCUGGAUUUGAGAAGACAUUUGAGGAGAAAGCAAAGACCCUCAGAGACUGAGGAAUGGUCUGUGUGUUGACCAGCAGGAGCUGGAGGUGACCUAUAGCUGGAGAAGACGCCGUGAUCCCAGACCUCGUCCUUUCUCCUGGAAACCAUUUCCUCUGCUGCUGCCUGCUCUUAGAUUCCCCGCUCCAUCCCCGGAACCAAAAGGCUUUCUGCCACACCCUUUCUUGCCCCCUGCCUCCCACGUCUGCUGUGCCUUGGGACUCAGCAAUUCUUGUUUGCUCCAUUAUCUUCUAGCCGGAUACAGAGUGAAUAGUUAACUACGCUUAGGUCAAAUGGGAUCUUAAUUUUUGUUCCUGCUCCUUCUCAAGAGGCGCAUUUGUGUGUUGCCAUGCAAGCAGUCUUGGUACGGGAUCCCUUCUCAUUUAUUUGGGAUCUGGCCCCACAGGUUCUGGAGUGAUGCAAAUCGGUGAAGUUCUUCAGGCUCUCGGAUGCUAGGGAUGUUGGCAGAGGCUCCGGCAGGGGAGCUGGAUCGUGAAGGCUGAUGUUCUCCAGUUCAGCUUUCUUUGUUCAGAUCUCACACAGGUGGACAUCUGGAGGAGCGGAAAACGGACGCCGUUCUUCAUUCCAACCGCCUUCCCUUGGCACAGAUGCACAGUCAGCUGUGAAGGCCCUCUUCCCUCAGGUGGCCGUUGGGGUCCAUGCCAGAACAUGGUGCUUUGUUACAGCCUGCCCAGCUACCAGAGUUGGUGGUGUUUAUUGAGGACCCCCGCCCUCCAGUGCAUGCUGAUGACACACACACUUGACAACAAAAUACGAGUCCUGUUUGUUCCUUUCACUCUGUGGCCAUUAUAUGUGUGGCUGAAAACACUUCCUAAAUAUUGAUCAUAGUUCAACAUUGUCCAAGACGCAGAGCCAAAGAUGUUUCUACUUUCUAUUUCCAAAGUGAAUGACUUGCCUUUGUAAAAAAGAAUUAAAGCUAGACCUGUCUGUCUUCCCUGUGUUGUAGAUGAUGUCUUUGUAUGACUAGUUAGUGGCUUCAGUGUCUUCUCAGUGGAGCGGUGGGAUCCUUCUUGGCAUCUCAGAUUUACCGCAGAAUGAGAGAGGGGAACCUCUGGAGGAGGUCUCCUGCUAUGGAAAUGUGAGGCUCACUUGCGGGCUAUCACCUUCCUCCCUGACCUGCAGACAGACUCGUUGUAUUAGCUAGAUUCCUUUGGACUUCAAGGAAUAGAGACCCACUUGUAUCAUCUCCAUAAAUACUGGCUUAUUCCAGGUUGCCGUGGAAGUAAGGUAGACAGGAGACCAUCCCGGCGGCUACCCAACGAGGCCUUUCCAAGAAGCCCGAGUCAUUCGAGAUACCCAGUCACCAAAGGUGGUUUCCAGGGAUAGCAGGCCUGUAACAUCAUGGUCGUCUUCAUCUCCUACUUAGCAGCAGAAUCCACUGUUUCUGAUUCUAGAAUUCUGCUCUGGUAAUGAGCAGAGGGUGUGACCAACUGCCCCAGUUUGCCCAGGGCUGAUGGGUUUCCUGGAACACAGAACCUUCAGUGCUAAACCUGGGACAAUUCUGGGCAAACUGGAACAGGUCACGCUACUGGGUGACUCGAUGACCCUUCUUCUGCUUCUGCUUGACCUGCUGUAACCGGCCAAUGCUUUAGAUUGGUUUGGUCAGUCGCCAUUCAGAGCUCUUGUGACUGGCCACUUCACUGGCCACUGGGCAGCCUAUUGAUGGAAGCCAUUAGAUUGGGUACCAAUCUUGACCAAAUCAGUUGUUUCCAGGGUGGUAGGGUUGUAUGAAAUUGAAUAAAAACCUAGGUAUAAAGAGCCAUCGGAGACCACUUCCUUCAGAGGAAAACUGUGGACGGUAGGCAUGCCAGGCAUUGAAGGUAUCAGGGGUUCCUCUCCAAUACGAUCCUACUUAGAAAGGUGAAGUUAACUUUUAUUUUUAAGAAUGAAACAGUUCAUUAAGAAACAAAAGCUAACACAACCACUGGGAACAGUAGAAUUGACUAUGACAGUAUGUGUGUGUGUGUAUCAUACACGCAUGUACUAUGUAGAAUAAUGAACCAAGAAGAAAAUUCUGCAUCUUUGCUAGACAGAGACUAAGAGCUAAAAUCUUUGGGAUGGUGUUGUCUGGAGAGCAAAGGAGUUGGCUAGAGGACUUCCUGAAGUUCCUUUGAACUCUAGGAUCCUUUAAAAUAUCAAAAGCUGUAAAUUGGGCCUAAGUGUGUACUUUCUUCUAAAGUCUCCUAGAUAACCUUUGAGUUCAUCUCAGAUAGUCUUGAAUGGGACCUCCCAGCUCACUCGUACCUUUCCAGACACUGACUUUAUCUGGGAUAAAGGAGCGGAACUUGGUGGUGGUAGUGGGGGGUGGAGGAGGGGAAGGUGGUGCCAGCCCAAUUUUUGGUGUUCAUGACAAGUAAGAACAACCUGAAGGCAAAUUACAGGUUCUUUUCAGGUUAGUCAAAGCCAGGCUUUCAGGAUUGCAUGCCUUCCUGAAGUUGUUGCUUCUUGUCAGGGGAUCAGGCCUCCAUCUUUCCUGCUGAAAGACAAGUGUGAGCAUCUGUGGGGCUGGAACAUGAGCUUCCAGCUAAUCCCGCUGAUCUUGCGUGGUGUGGCCACAGGGAGGUCAUUGCAUGCCGAGGUGGAGAUGAGCAUGCAGACAUCUGGAAACUACCCUCUCAUUACUCAUGUGUAAAGAUCAAGACCCCUCCCCGCCAUGCACCUGGGUCUUUGCCCCUGUUCUGACUCUCACUGCCUUCACUGUCAUGGAAGGAAGGCUAGCCCAGCUCUUUGGGUGCCAUUUUUCUUUUUAAAAAGAUGAACUCAUUUCAGAUGUUUCCUUCACUUAUGUUCCACUUAUGGUCUUUGGUUCCAGAAGUCCUGCUAUUGUGCCAAAGGCAACAAUCUCCUUUUUCUCUCUCUCUCCUUAUCUUCUCAUCCACAUGGAAUCCUGGCAUCCCGGAGCUUGAAGUGAUCUAAAGCAUAAUUCUUAUCUAGAUCUCCUCUGACUAAUGCAGGAAUCCCCUUUCCCACAUCCAACAGGGGAUAGUCAGCCCUGGGGGAGGCAGCCUUCUUGGCAGAGUGGGAGAGGACUGUGAGAGAAGGUUGAAUGGUAUUCAACCUGGUGGGAAGCCGUAGAAUUUUAAAGAGCAAUUCAUGGGCUGCCAAGUGACCAUGAAUGUCAAUUUCUUAAUGAGAUUUUGAGCCAAAUGCGUUUUGCCCUCUCUCUGACAUGUGUACGUCUCUUACUUCUGGAUCCAGGUAGUAUAUCUUAUGCUGAUAGAAAGCACAGAAUGGGGAGACGAGGAGACCUGCGUUUUUGUCUCAAAAAGCCGCUGAUCUUGGUUCCUUCCCUGUAAAAUGAGGGAGUCGGGCCGCAUGAUCCCUGAAGCCUCUUCUAGCUCUGACAUCAAUAAUGCUGUCAUAUUUGAUAGAGUUCAGGACUUAAAGAUUUGCUACUUCUGUUCCAUAGGAGAAUAGUGUAUUAGACAUUGCCCAAGGUACAAUGUAAGGGUAUUUCAUCCACAUGCUGAACAUAUGCAUCUUGCUUCAAUUCAUCAUGAACACAACCUCAAAUUAGUGCCCCCCCACCAAGAUUUUGUUCAAGCUUUGCUGUGAGAUUUUCCCAUGACACUGAAACGUGACCCACAGGGAAGUUUUAUCCUCUUGCAGUGAUCCUGGAAAGCUAUGUGUUGAUGGAGAAAUAGGGGGUUCUAAUGGUGAAGUAAGUCCCUCUGCUCAGGAGGGUAUGGUUUAAAAGGCAUAGGGUGACCUUGGGAAUGCCUACUGACCUUGGAUGAGACUCCUUCAUGCCAGGCUGUUGGGAAGCAGGGCUGGCUCCCCACCCUCCACUUUAGGGAGAGAGCAGAUGGAGCAAGACCAUCUCUGCCCAGGCCUGAAAAGAGCCCUGAGCAGAGGCGCAUCUAGAGACCUGGACUCCAGUCCUGCCUUCCUUUCAGUCGCUCCAAGAUCGUGUCACUCAAGCCCGUUCUCUGAGUCUCAGUUUUCUCAUCAGUAAAGUGGGAGAGGGAAACGGACGUGGUUGGUCGUGAUGAUCCUCCUAGGUCCCCGCCUGUGUCAAGUUCCGAGCCUUGCCUGACCAGCUGACGUCUGCUGUUCUUAGACAAGUGGCUUUCUUCCUUUGCCUUCAGCUGCACAAGCCCCCGCACGGCCGGCCGGGGAAGUCCAUUACCAAAGAAUACUUCAAAGCUGUUUGCACUUGUUGUCAGUUGCACUGAACAUGAGUUUGUUGAGGGAGAAAGCAAAUAGACAUACAGACUGAUGACAGGAGUGGGCAGGGGACUGCUAUUUGCCCUGGUGACGAGGAGGGGAAAAAAAAAAAACGUGCCUCCAGUUCUGACCAAUAAAUAAAAACUAGGAGCUCUGCGUGGCUAAAACCAUAGGGGAUUUAUUAGUUUGCUCAGUGAAAGGCAAAUAUUAAGUCUUAAGUUGACCCGUCCUGGGACCUGCCUUUUGGCUUUUGUAUGCCGUCCGGCGCCGAUCACCAUGUACUCUGGGUUAUCGGGUUCUGUCAAAGGGUUUUUUUUUUUUGAAUUGUUUUCCAUCUCCUUCUCCUUUUCUUCCUUCUUUACCCGCCCCCCCCCCCCCCCCCCCCGACACACACACCUUUUACAGUAACUCAGGUCUGGAUUCUGGAGAAGUGGGGAGAACAGGAUGUGGAAGACAUGUUGUCCUGUUCAUAAAACUGCCCGUAAUCAGGGCUCUGGCUGCCCAGGAACUGUCUGUGCCCCCCGUGUGGUGGUCCUUGUGCGUCCCCUCCAUCCUCUGCCCUGAACUCUUCAAGUUAGGUCCUAGGCGCUUGGGCAAGAGGCCUUUCCUCUCAUUAAACUUAAAAUGAGCAUAGUCACAAGCAUUGGAGAAACAUAGAGAUGCCCUGUUUCUAAAUUGCAUCCUUUCCUUUGUCUGUGACUGUUCAGAGCUGACAGUGACGGAUGAUUUCAGUCCUGUGUGCUGAAAGAUGAGCUGCUAACGGUGGAGCUGUAAGUGCUAUUUAGGGUCUGACCAGGGCUUGUAACUCUCCGUAGAGUGAAAUAUCGGGACUCGAGGGGCUGGACAGCCACCCAGUCUAUCGAGUUUCCAAGUAUGAGCUGCAGUGAAACUAAACUAGAUGGAACAUCCUUUACCCUUCGCCUUAAACAUCCUCAGUGCAAGCCAGUCUAUUCUAAAGCAGUGUAGGUCUGGGUGCUCAGGUCUCGUGGGUGGUGCUUGCUAAUAUCCUCCCACUGUGGGGUACAGGACCCCUGAGCACAGUGCUCCAUGUCAGACCCAAAAUGCUCUUCUCCAGGUCCACCCUGGUAACUGUCCGCGGAGGGUGCACCUUACUACCCUGCUCAGGAUGUUACAGUUCUGUGACACUACUCAUGCAGCCCAAAGCUGGGAAUGUUCUGGAACUGCUUAAUUAGGAAAGUUGUUUUCACACUCCAGUGGUGAUUUUUGAUUGAACUCAGCAUGAUUUUUAAUCCUCUGGCAAUUCUUCCUGGAUGAGGUUAUUUUUUAAAAGAUUGAUGUUGGGCACCUAGGCUACUGGAAUCCUGAUAAUCCUUCAAGGCUCAUCUCAAAUGCUCCCCUCUCUAGGAAGCCUUCCUGGAUUUCUCCUUCCCUCUCAACCAGUUGUGACAUCCCCCUCACGUAUCCUUUUAAAGUAUCUGGCAUUGGAUAGGUACUCAGAAAAUGCUGAGCCCUCUGUCCUUGACCAUAGCACUUUCCAUACGUCAGUUCUGUGUUUAUACAGAACAUGUUUUAACUACCUGCUUCUCCCUGACUCUCCCCCACCAAAUCCUAUAAAAGCAGGAACUGGGUCAUUCUUUAUGUAUUGAAAUUUAUUCCUGGAAUGCCCACUAAUAUUCAGGACCAUGUGGCAGGGACUGUGAUUGACAUUUAAUCCUCCGAAAACAGAGAUGUACAGAGAUCCAACACUUGGACCAAGCCUCACAGGUGAAAGUUAGGAUUCAAAACCAAGGUUGUUGAGGACCUCAAGUUCAGAGCUGCUGGGCUGCUGCAUGCAGGCUUUGAUGCGGUAAAUGUACAAGGAAGAUGUUGAGUUGGCUUUUCCGAUUAAUGAUCUGUUUCUGUGUGUAAUGCCAAACUUGCCUGUAUUGUUUGCUCACUAUUAGUCAAUAAAGUGUUUACUAAUCAAUAAAGUGUUUUCUAAACAGCGGAGAAAAACGUACUUGUUACUUGAUUGCUUGGUUUCCCUGUAAAAGCUCUUUUUGAAAUAGAAUGUGUCUGGUUUGCGCAAGUUAUCUGAGAGCUAGGUUCAUUUUUAAGGGGGGAACGAGAAAUUUAAACUCCAAAGUUUGGGUUAAAAUUUCUAAAGAAUUUCAGAGUAUCUGAUAGAGAGAAAUACAGAAGAAGAGCACAAUAACACAUGUAAGAUGUUCCCUGUCCUCAGGAUCUUACAGUCCAGUUGGACAAGACCGGCACGUGUCAAACCAUCCAUCUCAUUGGCCCAGUGAACUCAUGGCUGGUAUUACUGGAGAGCCUGGGUGGAUGAUGCCGUCUGCUCUUCCCCCAAACAUGGACAUUUCCUGCAAGUCACAGGCAGAGAAGUUGGAUGGCGAUGGGCAG
ensembl:lncRNA